rnacentral:rRNA from 1 species
GACAGAGGGUGCAAACGUUGUUCGGAAUUACUGGGCGUAAAGAGCGCGCAGGCGGUCGAUCAAGUCGAGUGUGAAAGCCCCCGGCUCAACUGGGGAGGGUCAUUCGAUACUGAUCGACUCGAAGGCAGGAGAGGGUAGUGGAAUUCCCGGUGUAGUGGUGAAAUGCGUAGAUAUCUGGAGGAACACCGGUGGCGAAGGCGGCAUCCUGGACCAAUACUGACGCUGAGGAGCGAAAGCCAGGGGAGCAAACGGG